rnacentral:rRNA from 1 species
UACGAAGGGGGCUAGCGUUGCUCGGAAUCACUGGGCGUAAAGCGCACGUAGGCGGCUUCUUAAGUCAGGGGUGAAAUCCUGGAGCUCAACUCCAGAACUGCCUUUGAUACUGAGUAGCUUGAGUCCGGGAGAGGUGAGUGGAACUGCGAGUGUAGAGGUGAAAUUCGUAGAUAUUCGCAAGAACACCAGUGGCGAAGGCGGCUCACUGGCCCGGUACUGACGCUGAGGCACGAAAGCGUGGGGAGCAAACAGG